rnacentral:rRNA from 1 species
GAUGAACGCUGGCGGCGUGCUUAACACAUGCAAGUCGAACGAACCUUCGGGUUAGUGGCGGACGGGUGAGUAACGCGUGGGAAUCUGCCCUCAGGAGGGGGAUAACGGCUGGAAACGGCCGCUAAUACCCCAUAUGCCGAGAGGUGAAAUGAAUUUCGCCUGAGGAUGAGCCCGCGUCUGAUUAGCUAGUUGGUGGGGUAAGAGCCUACCAAGGCGACGAUCAGUAGCUGGUCUGAGAGGAUGAUCAGCCACACUGGGACUGAGACACGGCCCAGACUCCUACGGGAGGCAGCAGUGGGGAAUUUUCCGCAAUGGGCGAAAGCCUGACGGAGCAACGCCGCGUGAGGGACGAAGGCCUCUGGGCUGUAAACCUCUUUUCUCAAGGAAGAAGAUCUGACGGUACUUGAGGAAUAAGCCACGGCUAAUUCCGUGCCAGCAGCCGCGGUAAUACGGGAGUGGCAAGCGUUAUCCGGAAUUAUUGGGCGUAAAGCGUCCGCAGGCGGCUUUGUAAGUCUGCUGUCAAAGCGUGGAGCUUAACUCCAUUUCGGCAGUGGAAACUACGAGGCUUGAGUGUGGUAGGGGCAGAGGGAAUUCCCGGUGUAGCGGUGAAAUGCGUAGAUAUCGGGAAGAACACCAGUGGCGAAGGCGCUCUGCUGGGCCAUAACUGACGCUCAUGGACGAAAGCCAGGGGAGCGAAAGGGAUUAGAUACCCCUGUAGUCCUGGCCGUAAACGAUGAACACUAGGUGUCGGGGGAAUCGACCCCCUCGGUGUCGUAGCCAACGCGUUAAGUGUUCCGCCUGGGGAGUACGCACGCAAGUGUGAAACUCAAAGGAAUUGACGGGGGCCCGCACAAGCGGUGGAGUAUGUGGUUUAAUUCGAUGCAACGCGAAGAACCUUACCAGGGUUUGACAUCCUGCGAAUCCCUUGGAAACUUGGGAGUGCCUUCGGGAGCGCAGAGACAGGUGGUGCAUGGCUGUCGUCAGCUCGUGUCGUGAGAUGUUGGGUUAAGUCCCGCAACGAGCGCAACCCACGUCUUUAGUUGCCAGCAUUUAGUUGGGCACUCUAGAGAGACCGCCGGUGAUAAACCGGAGGAAGGUGUGGAUGACGUCAAGUCAUCAUGCCCCUUACAUCCUGGGCUACACACGUACUACAAUGCUACGGACAAAGGGCAGCAAACUCGCGAGAGCUAGCAAAUCCCAUAAACCGUGGCUCAGUUCAGAUCGUAGGCUGCAACUCGCCUACGUGAAGGAGGAAUCGCUAGUAAUCGCAGGUCAGCAUACUGCGGUGAAUACGUUCCCGGGCCUUGUACACACCGCCCGUCACACCAUGGAAGUUGGCCAUGCCCGAAGUCGUUACUCCAACCCUUGUGGAGGAGGACGCCGAAGGUGGGGCUGAUGACUGGGGUGAAGUCGUAACAAGGUAGCCGUACCGGAAGGUGCGGCUGGAUCACCUCCU